rnacentral:rRNA from 2 species
UACGAAGGGUGCAAGCGUUACUCGGAAUUACUGGGCGUAAAGCGUGCGUAGGUGGUUCGUUAAGUCUGAUGUGAAAGCCCUGGGCUCAACCUGGGAAUUGCAUUGGAUACUGGCGGGCUAGAGUGCGGUAGAGGAUGGCGGAAUUCCCGGUGUAGCAGUGAAAUGCGUAGAGAUCGGGAGGAACAUCUGUGGCGAAGGCGGCCAUCUGGACCAGCACUGACACUGAGGCACGAAAGCGUGGGGAGCAAACAGGAUUAGAUACCCUGGUAGUCCACGCCCUAAACGAUGCGAACUGGAUGUUGGGUGCAACUAGGCACUCAGUAUCGAAGCUAACGCGUUAAGUUCGCCGCCUGGGGAGUACGGUCGCAAGACUGAA